GCAGGUAUUCGGUAGCUGCUUCCCGCACGGAGCCGUUACCAGGUACAAAGAGCGCCAACUCCUAGUACCUUCGAAAAACCGCCCGCCAAGGCGGUUUUUUCGUUUC
rnacentral:antisense_RNA from 1 species